rnacentral:rRNA from 1 species
ACUUAAGCAUAUCAAUAAGCGGAGGAAAAGANNNNNNNNAGGAUUCCCUUAGUAACUGCGAGUGAAGCGGGAAAAGCUCAAAUUUAAAAUCGGGCCGUUCUUUGGCUGUCCGAGUUGUAAUCUAGAGAAGCGUCUUCUGCGCUGGACCGUGUACAAGUCUCUUGGAAUGGAGCAUCAUAGAGGGUGACAAUCCCGUCUCUGACACGGACUACCAGGGCUUUUGUGAUGCGCUUUCGAAGAGUCGAGUUGUUUGGGAAUGCAGCUCAAAAUGGGUGGUAAAUUCCAUCUAAAGCUAAAUAUGGGCGAGAGACCGAUAGCGAACAAGUACCGUGAGGGAAAGAUGAAAAGAACUUUGAAAAGAGAGUUAAACAGUACGUGAAAUUGUUGAAAGGGAAACGAUUCAAGUCAGUCGCGUUGGCCGGAAAUUCAACCUUUGCUUUAACCUGCUGGGCUCAUUUUUCUGGUUGACGGGUCAGCAUCAAUUUUGGCUAUCAGAGAAAGGUUGGAGGAAUGUGGCAUCUUCGGAUGUGUUAUAGCCUCCUUUCCAUAUGUUGAUGGCUGGGAUUGAGGAACUCAGCACAACUCUUCCGAGUUCAGGGCAUCUCGCUCAUGUAAUGUGCUUAGGAUGCUGGCAUAAUGGCUUGAACCGACCCGUCUUGAAACACGGACCAAGGAGUCUAACAUGCCUGCGAGUGUUUGAGUGGAAAACUCAAGCGCGUAGUGAAAGUGAACUUUUUGUUGAGAUCCCUGUCGUGGGGGAGCAUCGACGCCCGGACCAGACCUUUUGUGACGGGCUCUGCGGUGGAGCAUGCAUGUUGGGACCCGAAAGAUGGUGAACUAUGCCUGAAUAGGGUGAAGCCAGAGGAAACUCUGGUGGANGCUCGUAGCGAUUCUGACGUGCAAAUCNAUCGUC